AGGGAGGAAAAAAAUGAGCAGAAACUGCUAACAUCUGGAGGCUGCUGUCCAGUUUACGUAAUCUCUUGCUGCAGAGGAGGAACACGGGAUCCCCAGCCAGAUGGUCCGUGGGUGACUUCACAGCACAUGUGCUACCUCCAAGAGUUCUUCAUUCCCAUGGUCCACAUGAAGAAAAUGGACCCCAAAGGAACAAAAGCAACAAAGAUAAAAAUUCCUUCUCCUCCCAUGGGGGUGGGAGGUGAAGAACGAAGCAAGCAAACACUCAUAGAGAAAUGUGCAGGGUUCUCUGAGGAACAAGGACCUUCCAGAGUGAUGCUUUUCCCUAGUGGCAGCCUUGGCCAGGGCAACAGACAUCUGCACAAACGCAGGGUGUUGAAGCAGCUGUUCUGAGAUGCAGUGCCUGAGAAUCUGGGAUCCACAAUGUGAACUUCUCAACAACCCCUGCACCUGCCACUUCCCUGAAUCUUCCACUAAGCACCAGAAGACACAUGCAUUUUAAAUCAAAGGAAUGGCUCCCAUGCAGAAACCAGAGUGUUAAAAUGGAUCCCUCCCACCCUGAACUCUGACUGGUUUGGUUCACCUCAAAGACCAUCCUCCUGCUAUAUGGUUUCGAUAAGUCUAAAAAGAUGAGCCAUUCAAGCCACAGUGUCUUCUAUCUCCAAGCUGGUGAGACACACUGCAGUCCUCUACAGAACAGAAGAGAGACAGUGCACAAGAUUGCUCUUGGGUAAGUUUUCUUUUUCUUAUGU
rnacentral:lncRNA from 1 species